rnacentral:rRNA from 1 species
GAUGAACGCUGGCGGCGUGCCUAAUACAUGCAAGUCGAGCGAACAGACGAGGAGCUUGCUCCUCUGACGUUAGCGGCGGACGGGUGAGUAACACGUGGAUAACCUACCUAUAAGACUGGGAUAACUUCGGGAAACCGGAGCUAAUACCGGAUAAUAUAUUGAACCGCAUGGUUCAAUAGUGAAAGACGGUUUUGCUGUCACUUAUAGAUGGAUCCGCGCCGCAUUAGCUAGUUGGUAAGGUAACGGCUUACCAAGGCAACGAUGCGUAGCCGACCUGAGAGGGUGAUCGGCCACACUGGAACUGAGACACGGUCCAGACUCCUACGGGAGGCAGCAGUAGGGAAUCUUCCGCAAUGGGCGAAAGCCGGACGGAGCAACGCCGCGUGAGGGAUGAAGGUCUUCGGAUCGUAAAACUCUGUUAUUAGGGAAGAACAAAUGUGUAAGUAACUAUGCACGUCUUGACGGUACCUAAUCAGAAAGCCACGGCUAACUACGUG